ACAGCCUUCAGAGGAGGAUUCAUCCUUGAGAAAAUCAUGGGCCCAAUCUCCACGGGCCAUCUGGAGCUCCAAAGCCGCAACCCCAACGACAACCCCUCCGUAACAUUCAACUACUUCAAAGAGCCUGAGGACUUACAGAGAUGUGUUAAUGGCAUGCAAAUCAUUGAAAAAAUAAUAGAGUCAAAGGCAUUCUCCCAAUUCAAAUAUGAUUACUUAUCAGUCCCAGCAUUGAUCAACAUGACCCUCAAUUUCCCAGUCAACUUGGUGCCAAGGCAUGAUAAUGCUUCCACCUCCCUAGAGCAGUUCUGUAAGGACACCGUGAUGACUAUAUGGCAUUAUCAUGGAGGCUGCCAAGUUGGUAGCGUGGUGGAUCAUGAUUAUAAGGUUCUUGGCGUUGAUGCCCUACGAGUCAUCGAUGGAUCAACCUUCAACGCCUCUCCUGGGACUAAUCCUCAGGCCACCGUCAUGAUGCUUGGAAGGUAUAUACAUCUAAAUAUUACAUCCUACUCAAUUGAUAUUGAAAUAAUCCUAGACCAUAUCAGCAUAUGUUACUACUCGAGAGAUGAUGCUUGAUUUUUUAUGGCGCAGGUACAUGGGACUAAGGAUUCUGAGCGAGAGACUUGCGAGUGAUUUGUCCAAGUAGAUGGACGAUGAGCAUCAGUACUUGUUUUAUUUUUUAUGGAGAUUCAUGCGCUUGAGUUAGAGGAAUUGAUCAGUUGGGAGUUGAUAAUAGUUUGAAGCAACUCUUGGUCUAGAAAGAGGUUAAUUGAGAAUGAAAAAUGUGUUCAGUCCUUGUUUGCUCUUUAAUACUACAUUAGUUACGGUUGUGCAUGGAGAUUUAUUUCCUUGUUGAAACUUGUUAGUGGAUUGAUUAAAGGUUGGUUUGCUUGUCGACAAUUGUUUGUGAAGGUAGUCAACAUGAUGAAGGAAAAUGAACAUGGAUUUAGGAUGGGUAAAUCUUAAGAAAAUUAAAUGCCCCUAGCUAGCUAGGUCCAAUAUUUUAAAUAAAUGGGUACUAUAUAACAAUGCAUUAUAAACAUUGAUGUCUGAAAUAUAAUGAAGGUAGUAACACCUCAAAGUAUAGAAGUCAUAAAAGAACGAUCUUUGGUGUAGUUAAAUUAUAGGGACAAUGCUAUUGUAGAAAUGAUCAGAAAAUUCAAAAAGUUGCAUAAAGAAAAUCCACUGGCAACAGGCUAGAGCUGAAAGCUCUUGAAAUAAUGGUAGAGUUGAAGCCAAAGUAGAUAAAUUAGGUGAUGAAUAUUUGACAGAAAACUGUGAAAGGUAAUGAAUAUAUGAGAGAAAAGAAGGAAAAAGUAAAGAUUUGAAAUAAGGAUAGAAUAUAUGGGGUCUACCCAUUACUCUACAACUAAUGGGAAUUGGUUAGAACCAAUCUGCAAAUAUCUAAGUUCAACUUCACAUGGGAUCAUAAUGAAACAAACAGUUGUCAGAUUCUGAGAGAGGAAAGGUUAGAUUAGACAUGUCCAUAAGUUAGUGAUGAAGUAGGUAACACUCCUAUUAAAGGGCUGAGUUAGAAGAACAACUCAACAUCAGAUACUAAAAAUUUCAACUUAUUCAGACCAAAUGAAUGAUGGUUUCUCAAACAAAUUAAUGCAAUCGAUCGAGGAUUGAUACCAAUUUUUGUUUUCUUAGUAAAAGAACAAACAGAGAUAUGUGCACCUUCAUAGGCCAGAUACAUGGAAGACAAAAGCAUUUGAAGACUAUGGGCAUUGUCCUGAUUGGACAAAAAUAACAUUGGAUCCAAGGUUGUGUUGAAUUCAGAGUCACCCAAAAGACGAAAACAUAAAGCACAAUAAAAAAACGAGAGGAAUAUGACACAGAAUAUACCUUGAGGGCCAGAAUUUCUUGCCUCCUUCUGUAAGCGAAAGAGGGCAUCUCUCCUCUGGACUGCUUUUUCUCAUCCUCCCUGAUCCAAACAGAUAUGGAGGAAAAAAAACAUUCAUGGGUCGAAAUCAUGCUAUGUAGAAUCUCAAACAUUAGUAAGAAGCUUUUGAUCAGACAAGAGCCUUUGCAUGGAAUGCUAACUUUAAGAGAAGGCAUCAAAGGAUAUCCCUGGCAUAACCCUCUAGCAUAUGCCAUUUCUCAAUGGCUUAUUCCAUAGCUAGGCCUCGAAAAGAAGAGCUUUCUGGACUAUAUAUAUGUGAAGCUCAAGGGUCCCCUAAUUGGCAUAACCCAGAUGAUCAUGUGGCGAGCGGACAGUGUUC
rnacentral:lncRNA from 1 species